rnacentral:rRNA from 1 species
GACGAACGCUGGCGGCGUGCUUAACACAUGCAAGUCGAGCGGUAAGGCCCUUUCGGGGUACGACGAGCGGCGAACGGGUGAGUAACACGUGGGUGACCUGCCCUCAGCUCUGGGAUAAGCCUGGGAAACCGGGUCUAAUACUGGAUAUGACUCCAUGACGCAUGUUGUGGGGUGGAAAGCCUUGCGCGGCUGAGGAUGGGCCCGCGGCCUAUCAGCCUGUUGGUGGGGUGANGGCCUACCAAGGCGACGACGGGUAGCCGGCCUGAGAGGGCGACCGGCCACACUGGGACUGAGACAAACGGCCCAGACUCCUAUGGGAGGCAGCAGUGGGGAAUCUUGCGCAAUGGGCGGAAGCCUGACGCAGCGACGCCGCGUGAGGGAUGACGGCC